CUCGCGAGGAGCCAAGCGCUGGGCCCCGCCCCUCCCGAGCCCCCUCCCGGCGGGGGCGCAGGUCGGAUGAUUCCUCCGUCGGAGAUCUAAUUGGCUUCUCCGGAAAGGAGGGCUCGGCUCGUGACGGAACAAAGCCCGAUGGAGCCCAGAGUCUCCGUCCCCGCUUGCCUGCUCGCCGACGCCCCCACCUGCGGUGGCCCGCGCCCUUGCCGCGCGGGACUCAGGGUCACCACCCCUCCCCCGACGCCCCCGCCCAAGCCGGACCUGCCCCAACUCCUGGCGGGCGGGGGUCUCCCGGCGUGUCCUCACGCUUGUGCGGGUCUGCAUUUUCAUUCCUCUAUGCCCAGGUUCCAGGUGGGCGCUCCCAAGCAGGGGGCCUGGGAGGGCACCUUCGGCAGAUGACUGGGACUCUUCGGUUCUAGAGGACUCAACUUGAAACAGGAACACAAAACCCACGUUCCUGGGGCGACUCCCUCCAGAGGGCAAGGAGUUUUUCCUGGUGCCAGGUCUCUGAGUCACCCAGCAGGCUGUGAUGGAGAAGAGGGAAUCCUGCUAAACUGCCCCUGGCUGGGAGAAGUACAAUGGAGUGAAGAGCUCUCCUUUUCCUUCGCAUUACUUGCUUGUGUCAUUCUUUGCUAACAAAGUAGUAAAAUCAUGAGAUUUGUAUUCUG